AGUAUACUCGAGCCGACCAGACCUGAAGGAGGAGCUUCUGGAGGGUGCAGAUUCCUGGUUCACUGAUCACAGCAGCUUUGUUAAAGACAGUAAACGAAGACCAGGAUAUGCCAUAACUACAACUUCAAAGGUAAUAGAAGCUAAACCAUUACCCUCUAACACCUCAGCACAAAAGGCAGAAAUAAUAGCCCUGACUAGAGCCUUGGAGUUGGCAAAGGACAAGCAGAUAAACAUACGGACUCAUUCCAAAUAUGCCUUUGGUGUAGUUCAUGCACAUAGAGCAAUUUGGAAAGAACAAGGACUUUAAAAUACCCAGGAAAGACAAAUUAAACAUGCAACGGAAAUUCUGCCAUUGUUAGAAGCUGUACAAUUACCUAAUGAAGUGGCUAUCAUACAUUGUAAAGGACAUCAAAAAGGUGAUCCCCUAGAAGAGAAGUGGAGCGGACCAUACCAGGUAUUACUGACUACCUUUACAGGAGUGAAGAUAAAGGAACAUCCUGCUUGGAUACAUUACUCAUGAAUCAAGAAGGCACCAGAACCAGAAAAACACCAGAACCAAGAAAAA